GUCAACCUACCAGCCUCCCAGUCUGCUCCAGCACAGUCUGCUCCAGCCCAGGGCAACCUACCAGCCUCCCAGUCUGCUCCAGCCCAGUUCAACCUACCAGCCUCCCAGUCUGCUCCAGCACAGUCUGCUCCAGCCCAGGGCAACCUACCAGCUUCCUAGUCUGCUCCAGCCUCCCAGUCUGCUUCGCCCAGACAACCACAUACAACAGCAAUCCUUAUCGAUUCAAAUGGGAAGUUCUUAGUGCAGGAAAGAUUAUUCCCUAGACACCAGGUGUAUAAGUUCUGUUGUCCUACAACUGACAGUGAAAUGCAGCUACUCAGUCAGACGAGGACUGACACCCCUAACAACAUCUUCAUCCACACUGGCUCAAACAACCUUCGUGCCAAAGGUGGACAUUAAUCUGGGGCAGUGAGACGGGCACAAGCUAUGUUCCCAACAACCAAUAUAGUCGUGUCCACCUUCCUACCAAGAAAAGAUUUCCCAGGACAGUUCAUGGACAAAAUAAAUCAACAGAUCGCUGUGGACUGUGACUCACUGCUCAAAGUCAGGAUGGUUCACCAUCCCACUCUGACAUGUCAACACUUAUACCUUAAAGUACGUCUUGAUCAGGACAGUGUCAGAACCUUUGCUAAGGACCUUAAGGAUGCAACACUUGGCAGGGACUAACACCCCAGGAGCAGUUGCCCCCCGCUCCAGAUUCUGAAAGAACAGUACCCCCACCAUCCCCCGGAAAGAAAAGCCAGACACAACUUAUUACAGCACAGCUCUACUAGACCAGGCCAAACACAGCACAGAUUUACCAGACCAGACCCGCCUCAGGACAGCACGACCAGACCCAGCCAAUCACAAAAUAGUUCUACUAGACCCGGCCCAUCACAACACAGCUCUACUAGACCCGGAUCCCUCACAACACAGCUCUACUAGACCCGGCCCAUCACAACACAGCUCUACUAGACCCGGCCCAUCACAACACAGCUCUACUAGACCCGGAUCCCUCACAACACAGCUCUACUAGACCCGGCCCAUCACAACACAGCUCUACUAGACCCGGCCCAUAACAACACAGCUCUACUAGACCUGGCCCAUAACAACACAGCUCUACUAGACCAGGCCCAUCACAACACAGCUCUACUAGACCCGGCCCAUCACAACACAGCUCUACUAGACCCGGCCCAUAACAACACAGCUCUACUAGACCCGGCCCAUCACAACACAGCUCUACUAGACCCGGCCCCUCACAACACAGCACUGACCACUACUCUAGGGUCGGGCAGAACACUGUCCUUCAGAAAGUACACCACAUGAUGCAGUCCACACCAUGUCUCAUUCAGAUUAUCAGCCUACAUAUGCUGAGGUAAAGUCUGGCAAAAGACAUCUAGAACCAUCAGAGAUUGGAGAGGUCUGCCAACUACUGCAUCUAAUACGCAGCCCACAGGACUGGACAGAGCCUUUAAUACAGACUCACUCACACACUCACACACACAUAAGAAACACAUACCUACAAGAGGUUGCAGAUUGCAUAUCUGCAUUGUACUUAUUCAAUUCUAAUUGAUUUGUUUACAACUAUUCUUUAUUUUAUUGGCACUGGAAUUCUAAUAAUAAGAAUAUGUGUAAUGAUAGGACAAUGUGUAUGUACAGUGCCUUGCAAAAGUAUUCAUCCCCCUUGGCAUUUUUCCUAUUUUAUUGCAUUACAACCUGUAAUUUAAAUAGAUUUUUAUUUGGAUUUCAUGUAAUGGACAUACACAAAAUAAUCCAAAUUGGUGAAGUGAAAUGAAAAAAUUACUUGUUUCAAAAAAAUUUAAAUAAAAAAAUGGAAAAGUGGUGCGUGCAUAUGUAUUCACCCCCUUUGCUAUGAAGCCCCUAAAUAAGAUCUGGUGCAACCAAUUACCUUCAGAAGUCACAUAAUUAGUUAAAUAAAG
rnacentral:lncRNA from 1 species